rnacentral:rRNA from 1 species
AACGAACGCUGGCGGCAUGCCUAACACAUGCAAGUCGAACGAAGGCUUCGGCCUUAGUGGCGCACGGGUGCGUAACGCGUGGGAACCUGCCCCUCGGUUCGGGAUAACAGUUAGAAAUGACUGCUAAUACCGGAUGAUGACUUCGGUCCAAAGAUUUAUCGCCGAGGGAUGGGCCCGCGUAGGAUUAGCUAGUUGGUGGGGUAAAGGCCUACCAAGGCGACGAUCCUUAGCUGGUCUGAGAGGAUGAUCAGCCACACUGGGACUGAGACACGGCCCAGACUCCUACGGGAGGCAGCAGUGGGGAAUAUUGGACAAUGGGCGAAAGCCUGAUCCAGCAAUGCCGCGUGAGUGAUGAAGGCCUUAGGGUUGUAAAGCUCUUUUACCAGGGAUGAUAAUGACAGUACCUGGAGAAUAAGCUCCGGCUAACUCCGUG